AUCCCUUUUACUGGAAGAGAUUGGAGCUUAGGGCAAUUAUAGAUGGUCAGCUGAGAGAGGGAGGAGGGCAGUGCUGAUUCAGGAAGUGAUUGGAGAUUAGGGAAAUUCACGAUUUGUAGACUUUGAAGCGAAGUGAGGUGCGAAAACUGGCCUUGUUCCAGCAUUGACUGAAUUUGAGGUAAAUUACCCAUAAUAAAAAGAUGUUGAAGAGAGGUGAGGCUUUUGAGAUGUUGGCUGCUUAAUGUUUUCA